UCUGGCCUGGAGAAGCCCUGG
rnacentral:miRNA from 1 species